AUGUUCUUUCAUAUGUCUUUAUUGUAAAGGAAGGAAAGAUGUCUAUUAAGUUGCUUCUUUAAUAGAAAUAAAAAUAGUAUUUUUAUAUAUAUAAUAGUAUGUUAUAGAUGAUUUUGAGUAUUAUUUUGUCAUAGUGCUUAAAAUAAGUGCCAUUACUAUUAUGUAUUUGAUAUAUGAGAAGUGACAAUUUUAAUUAAUUUAGUUUUUCUAAUAAAAUUGAUAUGUUUUGUUAUAAUAUUAUAGUAUGAAUGUUGUCAUCAUAUAUAUGUAACAUUGUUACAAUACAAUUAAUAUUUUCAACUUAUAGAUCAUCUUCAGACUAUAUCACAAGAAUUAUGCAUAACUAUUUGAAACAAUUAUAUGGAACAAUGAUAAAAGAUCUGCUGACUACGAGUCUAUUUACUCUACAGGCGAAUCAGUGGAACUAACACGAAGUACAAUUUUCAACCGAUAGAUAACGCUACCAUGCGCAAAAUAGCGCAUUUUACAUUAAACGAAUGUAACUAAUUAAUUAAGUAAGUAAUUAGAACAAAAUAUAUACAUAUUUUCACAAUGUAUACAUAAAA